UCUCUGUGAUGAUUAAAACGAUGACGAGUCCGAUAUCCAUUCCAUUCACCCUGACGACGAAUCGAGGCAUUUGUCUGAGAGAA